UACGUAGGCAGCAAGCGUUGUUCGGAGUUACUGGGCGUAAAGGGUGUGUAGGCGGUUGCUUAAGUUUGGUGUGAAAUCUCCCGGCUCAACUGGGAGGGUGCGCCGAAUACUGAGUGACUCGAGUGCGGGAGAGGAAAGUGGAAUUCCUGGUGUAGCGGUGAAAUGCGUAGAUAUCAGGAGGAACACCGGCGGUGUAGACGGCUUUCUGGACCGUAGCUGACGCUGAGACACGAAAGCGUGGGUAGCAAACAGG
rnacentral:rRNA from 1 species